GCAUAACGCGAAGAACCUUACCCACCUUUGACAUGUACGGAAUCCUUUAGAGAUAGAGGAGUGCUCGAAAGAGAGCCGUAACACAGGUGCUGCAUGGCUGUCGUCAGCUCGUGUCGUGAGAUGUUGGGUUAAGUCCUGCAACGAGCGCAACCCUCGUCACUAGUUACUAACGGUUCGGCCGAGGACUCUAGUGAGACUGCCUUCGUAAGGAGGAGGAAGGUGAGGACGACGUCAAGUCAUCAUGGCCCUUACGGCCAGGGCGACACACGUGCUACGAUGGGAUGUACAAUGAGACGCAAUACCGCGAGGUGGAGCAAAUCUAUAAAACAUCUCUCAGUUCGGAUUGUAGUCUGCAACUCGACUACAUGAAGCUGGAAUCACUAGUAAUCGUAGAUCAGCCAUGCUACGGUGAAUACGUUCCCGGGUCUUGUACACACCG
rnacentral:rRNA from 1 species